UAGGGAAUCUUCCACAAUGGGCGCAAGCCUGAUGGAGCAACGCCGCGUGAGUGAAGAAGGGUUUCGGCUCGUAAAGCUCUGUUGUUAAAGAAGAACACGUAUGAGAGUAACUGUUCAUACGUUGACGGUAUUUAACCAGAAAGUCACGGCUAACUACGUGCCAG
rnacentral:rRNA from 1 species